GACGAACGCUGGCGGCGUGCCUAAUACAUGCAAGUAGAACGCUGAAGAGAGGAGCUUGCUCUUCUUGGAUGAGUUGCGAACGGGUGAGUAACGCGUAGGUAACCUGCCUUGUAGCGGGGGAUAACUAUUGGAAACGAUAGCUAAUACCGCAUAACAAUGGAUGACACAUGUCAUUUAUUUGAAAGGGGCAAUUGCUCCACUACAAGAUGGACCUGCGUUGUAUUAGCUAGUAGGUGGGGUAAUGGCUCACCUAGGCGACGAUACAUAGCCGACCUGAGAGGGUGAUCGGCCACACUGGGACUGAGACACGGCCCAGACUCCUACGGGAGGCAGCAGUAGGGAAUCUUCGGCAAUGGGGGCAACCCUGACCGAGCAACGCCGCGUGAGUGAAGAAGGUUUUCGGAUCGUAAAGUUCUGUUGUAAGUCAAGAACGGGUGUGAGAGUGGAAAGUUCACACUGUGACGGUAGCUUACCAGAAAGGGACGGCUAACUACGUG
rnacentral:rRNA from 1 species